rnacentral:lncRNA from 1 species
AUGAAAUUCAACACAAGAUAUGUUGAAGGUGCUGGACUGGGAAAUGGGAAGCAGAUGGAGAUGCUGUGGUCGUAUCUGAGGCACUUUGGGAAGGUCACUAGAUGACGCCGUCCCAUCGUAUUGACCUCCUGACUGAUGCCCUUCACCAUGAGAAAAGAUGUGCCAGAGGCAACGUUAGUACACUUGGAAUUGUCAUUUACUUGAUGCUGGUUGACUCUUGUGAUGUUCCUAACAUUUCCUGUUUUUUAUUUUAGUGGACGACAGUUGCAACAGAAGCAGAAUGGAAAAUGGCAGAAAUUGCAGUCUCUAACAGGUAAACCAUUGCAUCAAUUCUCUAAGAAUAGAAUUUCAGUAUUGAUUAGAAUUUGUCACAUCUGUCAAUUAUGUUUUAGGAACAACACUGGACACCAUUCGGGAUUGUGGCAGGAAUGUUAGUGUCACCCUUGAGAAGCAAAAACCUGCUCUGUGUUGGGAUAAGCAAUAUGUUGCAAUGCUCCAGCAACAUACAAUAGCAAUGUAUGUAAUUAUUUUUAAAAAUUUUUUGGCAUGCAUCUCUAAUCCAUUUUUUUUUUAUCUUCAGGGCCCAGCAGGAAAGUGGAGAUGGAAUAGCUGUUGCUCAGCUUAUGCAGAUCGAAAACUGAAGACGAUGGAGAGGAAGAACGGCAUCCUCCAUCGAUGGUCCCCCACCAGCAGUCUCUUCCAGACUGCACUCCACAGACUGCAGAGUAACAGAUUGAAGACCAAUUUGGAAGGAACAUUCAGUCUGGUGCUAGAACGGAGGUUACUCUGUGGCCUGAAGAGAAAAUAUGCAGGAAAUAUAUAUUCAACAAUAGGAACAAGUCAACUCAUAUCAGUUCUAUGAUAUUUCUGGGUGGGCAAACACAAUAAAUCAAAAAUGUGUUGCUGUUUUUGAACUUGUUUCUGAUGCUUAUGGUCUAUUGUUGGAUGGUAAUAAAGUGUAUAGCAGCUGUUGUCAUUUUUGAAUGUUUUUGUUUAGAUUGGAUUACCUUUAACAUAUUUUUUGUCUGUCUUAUCUGUUAUCAAUAGAUGGUCAAGGUAUUGCCAACCGCCUGUCCAAAAAGCUUGCCACGGUCGGUAGUAGCAUACUCUUUAUUUUUAUUUAUUUUUUUUAAAAGUUUUUUAAGGACUACAACCUGAGACCAAAUUUUUCCUCACAGCUCUCACAAGUCCUGGUGUAUGAGGAUGCAGUGCAGGUGGACAGCACUGUUUGGUCCUGGAGAGCAGGAAGAGCUGAGGAUGAUGGGGAGUUUCACUUCAAGCAAAGGCUCUCUGUGCUCCAUUCCCUCAGAACGGGCGUGUGAAGAUAACUGGUACAUUGAGGAUGAAGCCAUCACUGCCAAGAAGUUCUACUCACAUGAGCAGGAACUGAUCGUGGAGGCCUUACAACAUUACACAGAGCAAGAUGGAUUUAGUCUUGGGGCAAGAGCUGUCCUUGCUGGAAUGCUUGCUGAGCAUCAGCAUGCAGAAGGACAAAGUGAAUUGUUCAGAAGUGCUUUUUUGAGGGCAGCGGUAUAAACAUUGAAGUGGAGGACAUUGAGGAAGUGGAUGAGGAUGAUGACUAUGAUGGGGUUUACGACAACGAUGGUGAUAUUGAUGGAGGAAAAAAUGUAUGAGGCUGAAUGUGUCUAAUUGUUGUUUGUUUCUUGUCCAUUCUGUUUUAAUGUAUGUAAUUCAGUGGUGUACAGUAUUUAAGUAAAAAAGGGGGGUAAAAUAAUAAACAUACAACAAAAAUGUUUUGUUAUUUUUGGGUUAAAGGAAGCACUCUGGCCAUUUCUGUUUAAUUGUUAGAUGUGAUAUAUAGGCCAUUCUUUCAUGUAAUUUACCAUUUAUGUCAUGGUGAGGGGAACCUGACGUGAACCUGGUAUACCCCAACCUGAGUCUAAUGGAAUAGACAGGUUUGCUUCCUCCAAAGUAUUGUAUUUUCAUUGACCUGUUAGUUGUGGAGUUUGUAAACAUCAAUUUAGAUAAUUUUGUAAAUAUUGUAAUUCGAACAUCUAAAUCACCGUUGUCAUUUUUUAAAUAAAUAACUUCUGC